rnacentral:lncRNA from 1 species
AUUUUUAUAUUCUUAUAUUCUUAUAUUUUUAUAUUCUUAUAUUUUUAUAUUCUUAUAUUUUUAUAUUCUUAUAUUCUUAUAUUUUUAUAUUCUUAUAUUCUUAUAUUUUUAUAUUCUUAUAUUUUUAUAUUCUUAUAUUUUUAUAUUCUUAUAUUCUUAUAUUUUUAUAUUCUUAUAUUCUUAUAUUUUUAUAUUCUUAUAUUCUUAUAUUCUUAUAUUUUUAUAUUCUUAUAUUUUUAUAUUCUUAUAGUUUAUUUUUAUUUUAUUUAUAACUUAUGUUUUAUGUUGAAUAUUCAUUUUAUACUUGUUUAUGUGGUUAUUAUUUUCUUCUUGUGUGAUCUUAUUUUGUUUUGUUCAAUUUUAUUCAAUUAUAUAUCUAUAUGUACAUGUAUAUGUAUAUAUGUAUUCACAUUUUUGUGUGUAAAUUCAUUUAUGCAGAAUGACAGUUUUAUAUGCUCAUUAAAUAUUAAUUCGGAUGAUAGUGACGUUCUUAAACAAAAUAUAAAAGGAGUCUGCAUAAGAGCACCUUACAUAAAAAAGAUUUUAUCCGAUAACGUAAAAGUUCUUGCAAACUUUUCACAUGAACCAGUCGGAUCAAACAUUAUAGGAGGUGAAAAACACGAUCAAUACAUAAAUAUAUAUAUAUAUAUAUAUAUAUAUAUAUGUGGUUUAUUGUUUAUGUGAAAAAUGUAUUAAUUUUAUUUCUUUACUUAUACAUAUAGACACUAUUUAUAUUUUGAAUUAUUUCUUUCGACAAUAUGCACAUACAUAUAUUCGCUUUUUUUUUUUUUUUUUUUUUUUUUUAAAAGGUGUUGAAGAAGACAAUUGUAUGGGGACUGUUUUUCAUCCAGAGUUAACGCCGUAUUAUUACUUUCACAAUUAUUUUUUAGAGAAGGUUAAAAAAAAUAAAAAAAAAUUAUGAUCAAAUUUAAAUAAUAUU